rnacentral:sRNA from 1 species
CCUCAAAACGUUGUGACCAGUCUUCUUACGUCUUUGUCCUAUCUGGUGGCCAUCUCGAGUAUUGAUUUUCUAUUUCUGUUUUUAAACGGAUCGACAGUCCUCCAGAGUGGCCGUAUACUUAUUUGUGGCAUCGUCUGUCGUCCAAGAUCUACACAAAUGUUCUAAUCUCCAGCCAAGUGAGUGACAGUAAGAUUUGUGUUGUCAGUAAUGCAACAAUGUGUGCUACAGCUUCUGAAAUACCCGAAGAAUUAGAUUCUACAAUGUGUGAGUAGUGGGAAUCACACAAGUAAAUGGGACCAACCACACUCUAUCAACAGACCUUUAUGUGUAUGGGAUAGAAUUAGGACAGUUUAAUAAAUACUUGAACGAAAAUGGUAAUGUCUACAGUAAAUUAUCACACACUGCCAGAUUCAAACCCUGACAUUGCCUUUACUACCAAGCACUUCCCUUGAGAUACCACAUUGUACAAAAUAUGUAUAUCACAUAUUGAAUUUCAUUUCUAUUUGGAAAAGCUUUAUCAAU